UCGGACGUGGUGUAUGGUACACGUCGAGCUUUCUUAGAGGCCUUGGGAUGAAACGCGUAGCUCGCAUUCUGGGGUUCGACUCCCCACGUCCGAA